rnacentral:rRNA from 1 species
UGCAAGUCGAACGAAACUUCUUUAUCACCGAGUGCUUGCACUCACCGAUAAAGAGUUGAGUGGCGAACGGGUGAGUAACACGUGGGCAACCUGCCCAAAAGAGGGGGAUAACACUUGGAAACAGGUGCUAAUACCGCAUAACCAUAGUUACCGCAUGGUAACUAUGUAAAAGGUGGCUAUGCUACCGCUUUUGGAUGGGCCCGCGACGCAUUAGCUAGUUGGUGGGGUAAAGGCUUACCAAGGCAAUGAUGCGUAGCCGAACUGAGAGGUUGAUCGGCCACAUUGGGACUGAGACACGGCCCAAACUCCUACGGGAGGCAGCAGUAGGGCAUCUUCCACAAUGGGCGAAAGCCUGAUGGAGCAACGCCGCGUGGGUGAAGAAGGUCUUCGGAUCGUAAAACCCUGUUGUUAGAGAAGAAAGUGCGUGAGAGUAACUGUUCACGUUUCGACGGUAUCUAACCAGAAAGCCACGGCUAACUACGCGCCAGCAGCCGCGGUAAUACGUAGGUGGCAAGCGUUAUCCGGAUUUAUUGGGCGUAAAGAGAACGCAGGCGGUCUUUUAAGUCUGAUGUGAAAGCCUUCGGCUUAACCGGAGUAGUGCAUUGGAAACUGGGAGACUUGAGUGCAGAAGAGGAGAGUGGAACUCCAUGUGUAGCGGUGAAAUGCGUAGAUAUAUGGAAGAACACCAGUGGCGAAAGCGGCUCUCUGGUCUGUAACUGAC